rnacentral:tRNA from 1 species
GUCGGAUUAGCAGAAUAUAAUGUGUACGAUUUAGGUUCGUAAGGUGUGGCAAGUCUACAUUCGAU